UCGGGGGCGGCCGCCGGCCCGCGCAGCGCCCCGCGCCCGCCGCCACCUCCACCACCUUCCCCGCCGCCGCUUCGCUUCUCCGCAACUUGCACCGCGCCUUUUUUCUUUCCUUUUUUUUUUUUUUUUUUUCCUUUCCCUCCUCUCUCUCUGUCUCCCCGCUCUGCCUGCAGCCGGCACGGGAGACGCCGCGGGAGGACCCCGACGCCGCGUGUUCAACAGUUACAGAUACACAGAUGUCUCUCCUGCUCAGAGAGGAGACAGACCCAUCCUUGCUUACAAUCUAAUUCCAGUCCUGGAGAACAGGGAGUGGAACAGUGCGUUACCAGAGCCAUAUUUGGUACCGAGCUCUAUGUUACUGCAGCUACACUUCUUAUGGGAAAAAAAAGACAAGAAGAACCAGAAUAGUAUUCAGAAGAGAAACUGAGGGAGAGAGAAAAUUCCAUUCUCAAAACAGCAAAAAUAAGAUUUACACUACUGCAGCCUUAUUCAUGACACUGGAACUAUUCAGAUGGAAGUUUUCAUCACAAAAAUUGCAGCAGCAGUCACAGGAUGCUUUUUUUAAUGAAAGACAAAGCACUAUGACAGACAAAAGAGUCCGCAAAAGAAUGAGGAUCUGCCAAUUCUCAAUGCUACGAAUCAGUUUCUCAGCAUCUGCAUGAUGAAAACCACAGGAGAAAGACAAGACAUGACAACAGAGAGUAAAUGCUGGGAAGACAAGGCUGAUGGAAGAAAAACCUUCUUACUGAGGACUGAACAGGUCUUUCAAAUACUUCUGGUGAGCAUGACCAAUUAAAUAUAUAUAAAAUGUUAUCCAAUAAUAAAAUGAA